rnacentral:rRNA from 1 species
GCUACAGGCUUAACACAUGCAAGUCGAGGGGCAGCAUAAAACUAGCUUGCUAGUUUUGAUGGCGACCGGCGCACGGGUGAGUAACGCGUAUCCGACCUACCCAUAACACGGGCACAGCCGCUCGAAAGAGCGAUUGAUUCCCGAUAUGUCUUUAGAGUAGAUCUAAUGAUGAAAGAUUCAUCGGUUAUGGAUGGGGAUGCGUAAGAUUAGGUAGUAGGCGGGGUAACGGCCCACCUAGCCGACGAUCUUUAGGGGUUCUGAGAGGAAGGUCCCCCACACUGGUACUGAGACACGGACCAGACUCCUACGGGAGGCAGCAGUGAGGAAUAUUGGUCAAUGGGCGCAAGCCUGAACCAGCCAAGUAGCGUGAAGGAUGACUGCCCUAUGGGUUGUAAACUUCUUUUAUACGGGAACAAACCUUGGUACGUGUACCAAAUUGCGUGUACCGUAUGAAUAAGCAUCGGCUAACUCCGUGCCAGCAGCCGCGGUAAUACGGAGGAUGCGAGCGUUAUCCGGAUUUAUUGGGUUUAAAGGGAGCGUAGGUGGUCUGUUAAGCCAGCUGUGAAAUACUGUAGCUCAACUACAGCCGUGCAGUUGGAACUGGCAGACUUGAGUGCACUAGAGGAAGGUGGAAUUCGUGGUGUAGCGGUGAAAUGUUUAGAUAUCACG